rnacentral:rRNA from 1 species
UGGGGAAUAUUGCACAAUGGGCGCAAGCCUGAUGCAGCCAUGCCGCGUGUGUGAAGAAGGCCUCGGGUUGUAAAGCACUUUCAGCGAGGAGGAAGGUGGUGGACUUAAUACGUUCAUCAAUUGACGUUACUCGCAGAAGAAGCACCGGCUAACUCCGUGCCAGCAGCCGCGGUAAUACGGAGGGUGCAAGCGUUAAUCGGAAUUACUGGGCGUAAAGCGCACGCAGGCGGUUUGUUAAGUCAGAUGUGAAAUCCCCGGGCUCAACCUGGGAACUGCAUUUGAAACUGGCAAGCUAGAGUCUCGUAGAGGGGGGUAGAAUUCCAGGUGUAGCGGUGAAAUGCGUAGAGAUCUGGAGGAAUACCGGUGGCGAAGGCGGCCCCCUGGACGAAGACUGACGCUCAGGUGCGAAAGCGUGGGGCAGCAAACAGGAUUAGAUACCCUGGUAGUCCACGCUGUAAACGAUGUCGAUUUUGGAGGUUGUGCCCUU